CGUGCCCUCCGUAGCCAAGGAGUUCCAAGCUUUCAUCUUCAAAUUUUAGCCCCGUUUCUCAACGUAUUGAAUAUCCGAUCGAGCAAUCGGUGUUAAAUCAAGGUAGCUCCAUAGGUGUUGAAAUUGAUGGCUCAAUUCUUGUAUUAGUGUCGAAUAUGUUACAUUUAGACACCCUAAAGCAUGUUUUGAUCCUUGAUUUUGAAGUUAUGAAAUUUUUUCUGUAUAAUUGCUAAUGGAACUGAAAAUAUACCUUAGGUAGAUGGUUUUGGGUGUUAUAUGUUCACAAUAGAUGAAAUGAAUAUUUAAAAGAUGAUUAAAUAUGAAUUGACAUAAAAUCUUGAUGAGAAUCAAACCCUCUGUUCUGCCACCUCUUAGUUUGAAUUAUAUAUGUUAAAACUUUGGUUUAACAAUUUCUAUAAUAACUAUGAUGAGUCUAGCGGAUCCCUGAUUUAUAUGGAGAAUUUAGGAGUUUGUUUACUAUGUGUAUAAAUUGUUUGAACUAUAUGACCAUUAACUGUCAAAAAUUCUGGUACACUGCCAUAUUUUGGUAUGUGUUAUCCGAAAUAUUCAGGGGAUUUAAGAUCGAUGAAAACUUUAUUGAAUAAUUUAUAAAUUAACUAUAUGGUGUUUAGUUGUUCUCUAAACUUUGUGAUUAAUUAAAGAGUACAAAUACUAUUUAUAAAAAUUGUGUAGAAAAUGUUGCCAGAAACUGAUUGAUUUUGUUAGUCUCUGGCAAAAGGAGAAUAUCUCUCAAACCAUUAGGAAUUUUUGAGUGAAUCUUGUUUCAUUGUAAAAUAGACUUCAUGGGGUAUUUAAAAAUGUUAUAUUAAGCCUCUAAAUCCUUUUGAAUAGAUAUAGAACAUUAAUGAGAAAUUAGUCCAGUGCAUUUAUUAUAUAAGAAGUUAAAUGAUGAAUCAAUGAAUUACUAUACAUCUGGGAUAUUAAAUAAGGUUAAAGGAAAGAGUUUAGCUCAUAGUAGUAUUCUUUUUCUAUAAAUUAAUGUGGAUUGCAUGUGAUUAGUAAGUAAAACGAGAGGUUUCACGGCGAUAGCCGAAAUGGAAGAAAAAAGGAUCCGGAGUGACUGGAACAUUUAGAUGGAAAAAGGGCUUAUGCUCAUAAGCUUGUCAGAGAAUUUUGGCUAAAGUGUUGGGUGUGCUACAUGUUAGUCGACAUUGGGGAGUAUCGGUCGAUGUUCAUUCAAGUCUGCGUCAGUGCUGCAUCCUCGUCGGGUCACUGAAUGCUAUCUGUGGUAUAUAGUGGUGGCAUGUUUAGAAAUCCGAUUAUGAUAUUCUAAAAUCAGUUGCGUUGUAGUUUAAUGUUGAUAAAUUAGUUUUCGAGGAAAUAUAAACUUAUAUGCUUUUGUAUGUAAGUAAUGGCCUCAAUUGGUUACGAUAAUGAAAUUUUAAAUUGCCAUAAUUGAUGGCGCCUCUUUCGUGACAUCACAUAUUUGACCGGUAGAUGAUCGGGUAGGGAUGUUACAACUAUAAUAUCUCAAACAUUAAUUGUCCACUUUAGUGGAUAUCAUAUCAUGUUAUAAUCAAUUUAUGUGUAUUUAUUUUUAAAA